GCGCCCGUAGCUCAACUGGACAGAGCGCUGGGUUUCUAACCCAAGGGUUGGAGGUUCGAGUCCUCCCGGGCGCG
rfam:Gemmatimonadetes bacterium 13_1_40CM_4_69_5 13_1_40cm_4_scaffold_15912, whole genome shotgun sequence.